rnacentral:rRNA from 1 species
AGAGUUUGAUCAUGGCUCAGAACGAACGCUGGCGGCGUGGAUAAGACAUGCAAGUCGAGCGCUGGCUGCAGGGUAGCAAUAUUCUGCAGUUGGAGCGGCGCAAGGGUGCGUAACACGUGGGUAAUCUGCCAUGAAGUUUGGGAUAACUUGCUGAAAGGCGAGCUAAUACCGGAUGUGAAAAUUGGGAGGCCUCUCCUGAUUUUUAAAGCUGGGGACCGUAAGGCCUGGCGCUUCUUGAUGAGCCCGCGGCCUAUCAGCUAGUUGGUAAGGUAACGGCUUACCAAGGCUAAGACGGGUAGCUGGUCUGAGAGGACGACCAGCCACACUGGAACUGAGACACGGUCCAGACACCUACGGGUGGCAGCAGUCGAGAAUUUUUCACAAUGGGCGCAAGCCUGAUGGAGCGACGCCGCGUGGGGGAUGAAUGGCUUCGGCCCGUAAACCCCUGUCAUUUGCGAUCAAACCUCGUUAUUUAAAAGAUGACGAGCUGAUAGUAGCGAAAGAGGAAGGGACGGCUAACUCUGUGCCAGCAGCCGCGGUAAUACAGAGGUCCCAAGCGUUGUUCGGAUUCACUGGGCGUAAAGGGUGCGUAGGUGGCCAGGUAAGUCGGAUGUGAAAGCUCGGAGCUCAACUCCGAAAUGGCAUUGGAAACUGCCUGGCUCGAGGGUUGGAGGGGGGACUGGAAUACUUGGUGUAGCAGUGAAAUGCGUAGAUAUCUGCAGGAACACCCGUGGCGAAAGCGGCGAGCUGGAUCACUACUGACGCUGAGGAACGAAAGCUAGGGGAGCAAACAGGAUUAGAUACCCCAGUAGUCC